GAGGUUAUAAAUUUACUGAAGAGCAGUAGAACACUUCAGAAGGAGGAAAAGCCCAAAAACCCAAAACCAGCACCACCUUCUUCCUAAGAUGUCCGACGGAAAACAAAAUGGAAGGACCUAUAGGCCGAGCGACCCACGCAGAGCCUGUUGCACUUUCCUAACCAUACUACUCCUCUUAGCCGGAAUCACGGCCCUAACUCUCUGGCUGGUCUACCGACCCCACAAACCCAAGUUCACCGUCGUUGGCGCCGCCAUCUACGAGCUCAACACUUCUACUCAGCCGCUCAUCUCCACCACAAUGCAGUUCACCGUCGUCACCAGAAACCCAAACAAGCGGGUUUCAAUUUACUACGACAGGCUCUCUGCUUUCGUCUCCUACAGGAACCAAGCGAUCACUCCUCAGGUGUCUCUGCCCCCGCUCUACCACGAGAAAAAAAGCACAGUAGCCCUGUCGCCGGUGCUGGGUGGCGGGACGGUGCCGGUGUCGGUGGAGGUGGUGAAUAGUUUGGCGAUGGAUCAGUCUUAUGGGGUAGUGGGUUUGAGGUUUGUGCUGCUGGGGAGGCUUCGGUGGAAGGCAGGGACUGUAAGAACAGGGCACUAUGGGGUGUAUGUGAAAUGUGAUGUGCUGGUUGGUAUAAAGAAAGGGGUUCUGGGUCAAGUUCCAUUGCUUGGAUCUCCUGGAUGUAAAGUCGAUAUAUGAAAGAAGAUUUUAGGGAAAUCAACCUGUAUGUUUCAACUUUCAAGGCCACUGGGGGGUAUAGCAACGAUGAAAAAACGAAAAAGCUUAUUAAUUAGGUUGGGGACAAAAGCUAGCUAUAGCGGUUGCUUUUGCUUUUGGACACAAAAAAGAUGCACAAAAACGGUGGUGGUGGUGACCAAGUGUUGGUGCCAAGUGACCCGGCAGUAAUUGUACCGUAUGGAAACCAACAAAACCAAAAAAACGUCAUCUUCGGUAAUGGAGAUGUAUUUUAUAUAGGGAUUUUAUCCUUCCCAACAAAGAAUCCUAUCCAAAGGGUAGCCUUAUCUUCUUCACUCCAUGUGCUCCUCUUCAAAAAGUGACACACUGAUUUUCACACUCACAGUUGGAUUUAUUUAGCCUGCUUUAUUACUUUUUUUCAUCUUCUGUUAAAAUUUAUAAACUUGCACAUGUUUGUUAUUGGGAAGAGUUUAUAACUAAGAAACUAAUGACAUAUUCUUUAUUCGUGAGAUAGUAUAUAUCAAAGAUUAAAAGGGUCAGUGGGUAGGGACUCAUUGAUAAUGGGCA